rnacentral:rRNA from 1 species
GUGGGGAAUAUUGGACAAUGGGCGAAAGCCUGAUCCAGCAAUGCCGCGUGAGUGAAGAAGGCCUUAGGGUUGUAAAACUCUUUCGCCGGUGAAGAUGAUGACUGUAGCCGGUAAAGAAGCCCCGGCUAACUCCGUGCCAGCAGCCGCGGUAAUACGGAGGGGGCUAGCGUUGUUCGGAAUUACUGGGCGUAAAGCGCGCGUAGGCGGUGUAUCCAGUCAGAGGUGAAAGCCCUGGGCUCAACCCAGGAAUAGCCUUUGAUACUGGUACGCUAGAGUCCGGGAGAGGGUAGUGGAAUUUCCAGUGUAGAGGUGAAAUUCGUAGAUAUUGGAAAGAACACCAGUUGCGAAGGCGGCUACCUGGCCCGGUACUGACGCUAAUGUGCGAAAGCGUGGGGAGCAAACAGG